rnacentral:rRNA from 1 species
GGGUUCCAGCAAAGCACGAAGCUAACAAUGAUGGAGAUACCUAGCAUUUUCACUCCUGAAGAUUGGUCCUUCGCUUUUUAUGAGGGCCUUAAUCAGCAUCAAGAUUCCACUUCCAGGGAUAAGACGUAUGGAGAGCUGGGGUGUGGCAAUGGUUGGAUAUCUAUUGCGCUUGCAGAGAAGUUGUCCCCUUUGAAGGUCUAUGGUCUGGAUAUUAACCCAAGGGCCAUCAAGAUUGCAUGGAUAAAUCUAUACUUGAAUGCCAUAGACGACAAUGGUCUCCCGGUCUAUGACAGGGAGGGAAAAACAUUGCUGGAUAGAGUUGAAUUCCAUGAAUCUGAUCUUCUUUCAUACUGUAUAGAUAACAAGAUAGAACUUGAUUGCAUUGUUGGCUGCAUACCACAGAUUCUUAACCCCAAUCCAGAGGCAAUGUCAAAGAUUAUGACUGAAAAUUCAAGUGAGAAGUUCUUGUACUCCUUGAGAAACUACUGUGCUCUUCAGGGUUUUUUUGAGGACCAGUUUGGCCUCGGGUUGAUUGCUCGGGCAGUUGAAGAAGGGAUAGCUGUCAUAAAGCCUAUGGGUAUCAUGAUAUUCAACAUAGGAGGCCGACCAGGUCAAGGUGUCUGUGAACGCCUAUUUCUACGCCGUGGAUUCCAUAUCAGUAAGCUCUGGCAAACAAAAAUUAUGCAGGCUGCCGACACUGAUAUUUCAGCUUUAGUUGAAAUUGAACAAAACAGCCCACAUCAAUUUGAAUUUUUUAUGGACCUUGUCGGGGAUCAGUCUGUCUCUGCACGCACAGCCCAGGCAUACAUGAAAUCUGGUGGCUGUGUUUCACAUGCUUUGUCUGUGUAUGGCUGCCAACUUCACAAACCCAUUCAGGUGAAGAAAUUGUUUGAGAUUCUUAAAGAUGGGUUCAAUGAAAUCAGCAGCUCCCUUGAUUUGUCCUUUGAUAAUGAUUUGGUUGCUGCUGAAAAAAUGGCCUUCCUAGUAUACCUUGCUAGUUUUUUGAAAGAGAAUAAGUCCAAUCCUUGUGAGCCUCCAUUUGGAUGUUUAAACUUCCGGAAUCUUGUUGCUGACUUUAUGAAGAGCUACUACAACAUCCCAUUAACUUCUGAUAAUGUUGCUGUAUUCCCUUCUCGUGCUGUUGCCAUAGAAAUUUCUCUUCGACUGUUCUCACCGGCGCUUGCAAUUGUGGAUGAACAUCUGACCAGACACUUGCCGAAACAAUGGUUAACAUCCUCAGCAAUUGAGGGAAGAGCAGAUUGUAACCAUGCUAAAGACACAGUCAUUGCAAUUGCAGCACCACACCAAUCAGAUCUGCUGAUUGAGUUGAUCAGGAAACUGAAGCCUCAGGUGGUUGUUACUGGCCUGGCUAAGUUUGAGGCUAUCACGAGUGCUGCUCUAGUGAAUAUACUAAGUGCAACAAGAGAUGUUGGUUCCCGGCUAUUCGUAGAUAUUUCAGAGCAUCUGGAGUUGUCUAGCCCGCCAAACUCUAAUGGUGUGUUGAAGUAUUUUGCUGAGAACACCCUACCGUCGCAUGCAGUUAUACUCUGUGGUCUAGUAAAGGAUCAGGUUUAUUCUGAUCUGGAAGUUGGUUUUGCCAUAUCUGAGGAUGAAACUGUCUAUAAGGCAUUGUCACAAACUAUUGAGCUAUUGGAAGGACAUACUUCUGUGAUCAGCCAGCAAUAUUAUAGCUGUCUUUUUCGCGAGCUACUGGCGCUCCAAAUUGACAACCGGCAUGCACAGCGAGAGAGACAACCUGCAGAAGUGAUACCUCAGAAGAUGAUAGGAUUUUCUAAUUCAGCUAUGUCAACCCUAAAAGAAGCUGAAUUUUUCGUUCCUGAAUCCAAGGAAUCUAGUAUCAUUCAUAUGGAUCUAGACCGCAGCUUCUUGCCAGUACCUUCUGUGGUGAACACUUCCAUUUUUGAAAGUUUUGUUAGGCAGAACAUCACGGAUUCUGAAACUGAUGUUCAUUUCGGCAUUAAAAAGCUGGUGAAAUGUUGCUAUGGUGGUUUCCCAGAUGGCUUUGGUAUGGAAAUUAUCUAUGGAAGCACCUGUGUUGCACUCUUCAACAAGCUUGUUCUUUGCUGCGUGCAAGAACAAGGUACCUUCUUUUUCCCUUUGGGCACCAAUGGGCACUAUGUCUCAGCAGCAAAGUUUAUGAACGCAAACAUCUCGACCAUUCCAACAAAUUCAGAUUCAGGAUUCAAGAUUGAACCAAUGGCUCUAAACGAAGCUCUAAUUGAGGAAGAAAAUUGGGCCUGGGUCUAUAUUUCUGGCCCUACAAUUAACCCUUCUGGUUUCCUGUACAGUGACAAGGAGAUACGAGAUCUGCUUUCUAUUUGUGCUAUGCAUGGAGCUAGGGUAGUGAUAGAUACCUCCUUCUCUGGUCUGGAGUUCCAAACCGACCGCUGGGCUUGGAGAAAUUUGGAAAGAUUUUCUUAUAAUGUUUGCUUAGAUCCCCCAUUCACAGCUUUUAUGCUCGGAGAGCUGUCCCUUGGGCUGACUGCGAUUGGCCUUGAUUUUGGGUUUUUAAGUUUCAAUGACCUGUCCGUCGUUGAACAUAAUCUUGCAAACUUGAGUCAGCCACAUAGCACAUUGAAGUACACUUUCAGAAAGCUAUUGGGUCUUAAGAACAAGAGGGAUCAACACUUCUCUAAUCUCAUCAUGGAGCAAAAGGAGACACUGAAAAAUCGUGCCAACCACUUAGCAAAGGUUAGCCUUUUGUAA